UGUCUUCUCCCAUGCUAGAGAUAAUACAAAGGCAGACACUACAAAAGCAGUUUGAGUCUCAGCAAGACAGUCUAAUUGUCUAGUGAAACUAACCAGUUUAACAUGAUCAUAAAUUACUUGCUUUGUGCACAACCUUAAUCUUCGGUUUGCAGCUCUACAAAUAUGGAUACAUGCUAACCAGCCGCCAUGCACAAAUUAUUCUCUCGGACAAUGCAACAUGACUAUUCCUGCCAUCAAUAAAACAUGAAAUGAUAAUUAAAACAGUAGCAAAUGAAAAUGCAGCAAAUUGAUUCCAAACAUAGAUCCAUGUGCAUACUACUAAAUCUCAUCCUAAUUACAAAACCACAAAAUUUAAAAUCUCCAAAAUGUAUGUUAAAAUUUAAAAACUACAUAAAAAUGAACAAUUAAGCAGCUAAAUAUAAGAAAAUAUGAGAUGGAAUUAGUAGAAUGGAGAGAUAAUAAAACUCAACAUCUGUGGAUUCCAUCUCUACGGUUGUCUGGCCGCUGCUCAAUUUCAACAGAUCCACAAUGUUUCUGAAAAAAAUGAUCCUUUUUGGUUAAGGAAAACAUGUUCGUCAGAAACAUGCAGUAGCUCUAAUCAAGCCUUUUCUGUACGCACUAAAUCUUCAACAACAAAACAACAAAGGUAUUUCUCCAUCCAAAACAAAACCAGUGCAAAAAAAAAAACUCCCAACAAUAAACAAAACAAUUUUUUUUAUAAUGAAAAUACAAGAUAAUACUCGAAACAAAAAAAAUUCAGAAUGUUGAGGGGCUCAUAUCAAGUGUAAAAUUUGAAAGAUCUAUCACUGUGGGAAAAAACCCAAUUCCAUCAAAGGGACUGUAAGAAAAAGGAAAGACAGAGGAGGAGGAGAAAGAAGAAGACAGAAUCUGAGACACCAAAGCCAAACCCUUUAGUGAAAAGGGUGUGACGGCACCUUCAGUUUCUGACCUAUAUAUAUAUAUAUAUUAUUAUUAUUAUUUUAUUUUUGAUAUUGAUAGAUACUGGUUUCGGAUUUUCCGAUGGAAUUGGGAAUUUCCCACUUAAGGCCUCUCUCAUUCUAAUCAUCGCCCUAUUCUAGUAAAAGUAAUCAUAUGGAAGGGGGUUAUCAUAAACCACUUGUAAUUUCAUGAGAAGAAAUUCAAAGUUGGUCUUCGAUUCAUAAUGCUCAAGAGAAAGUUACAGUAACAUAAGUAAAGUAAUAAAGUUGUAAACAAACCUUCACAACAUUCCUUUCUUCUUGCGUUUCCAGUAGUCCAACAAAAACUUCACUCCUUCUUGCAAAGUUGCUCUCCUUCCCGCUUUAUAGUUCCAUAACUCUGAGGUUACAUAUCUCCCACUAGGAUUAUAUUCAUUAAUCUCCGUUAAAGAUGCCACCACGGCACUAUAUGCCUUUUCACCCACUUCUUUUCUUAGUCCAUUCAGCUUUUCAUCAUCAUCUUUAAUAAUUUCCUGGAAUGAAAAAUGCGUAGAACCAGAAAACCAAGUGCAAUCGUUAGGAGUUUCACAAAACAAAUAAAAAGAAGGAUAAUUGUAGAUUAAAAUGAAUCUGAAACCAUUAUACAUAUAAAAUAGAUAUAUUAGAAAUAAACUGUCAUAAAGCAGUGGGGGGAAAUGAAAGUUAAUGGGUGCACUUUUGUCCUUGUUAUUUGUUAAUCAUCAAUGGUGGCCAAAGCACAUUAUUAAGAUCUUCAGACAGACUUUCCUAAAUAUAGUCACCUUUGAUAGUAGGAAUCUUCCAAAAUAGUUGAAUAAAGAGCAAUUAACUAUAAGGUGAUAUCAAGAAUCUCAGGAUAUUAUAGGGAAUCGGAAUCAGCUAUGAGUAUUACUGUAUUCACAACCAGACUUCCCUCUUCUGAAUUAAUAUUAAUCUGAUCAUUAUCAAAGAAGGGGUUACAAUUUACAUGGUAUAUUGUAAAAAAAAAAAAUUCACAUGGUAUAUCUCUCAUUCUCACUUUCUCUGAUGCUGGAAAACAGAGAAAAAUACAUGGUGAACAAAAAUGCAACAAGUCCUUUAAGGGAUCUGUUUACCAAAUAUUCCACCUCAAUUCUUCUAUAUUCCACCCUUCCUCUCCAGCUUUUAUUCUUGUUUCCCACACACUAAUUCCUACUCCUCCCACUACCACUCGUUUUGGUAUUUUCUCAUACUCUAUCAGCAUUACUACUGCCAAGCACUUUCCCCGUGUAAUACACAUAAGUAACAGGGAUUUUGCAUAAUUGAACAUAUCAUAUCUGCAACUUUUGCAGAGUAUUUUACUUUAUGUUGUUCAAACCAUCCAGGCUUACAAACACAGAAUGAGAAAUUGCAGUUGCUUCUAAAGGAAUGCAUACUCCAUAGUUAAAAAUACAGUUACUGGCGCUUACACUUGGCUGUCUGGUCAUUCAUUCUCCUAUUAAUCCCCUAUGACAUUUCCAAACAGCACAUACUUUUUUUUGACACCAGUAAAUCACUUAGAUACACAAGUGAAGGAAUUACAUUUACAGGUUCAGAAGGCCAAAUAGUUCCAAUCAAGAGUACAGUCAACAAAAAUAUUGACUGUCUUCAUGAAGAGGUAAUAUAGACGUGUAAAAAAAUUAACCAAAAUUGAUUAAAAGUGAUAUAUGCAAUGAAGCAUGUAGAUUUCUAGAUAAAUUUAUCAGAACUAAAUGUUUAACAUAAACUUACCUUUUCUUUCCCUUCAUUCAUGACAACUUUGAAUGGAUGCCAAUCUGGGUCUUUUAGAUACUCUUCCCACAAUGAACAUAGUUCUGAUGCUUUGUCUUCAGCUUCCUCCUCAUUAUAUCUUUUCUUCAUAGCUUCAAGGAACGGUCCAGUAUCAAGUUCCCCCAUUCUCUUCACACCAAUAUGGACUCGAGUUCCUAUAUCUUUAAUGCCCUACAAGAUAGAGAAAGCAUUAUUACUAAAUCUUUCAAGCAGUAUUGAACAGUAAAAUGUAUAAAAAAGGUUUGAAAAUUGCAAGAAUUUUUCACAACACCAAGUCCAUUAUAAAAGUAAUGUAAAAAACAAGUAGUGAACAUUUCAAGCGACGUUGGACAGUAAAAAGUAUAAGAAAGCUUUUAAAAAUUGCAAGAGCUUUCAAAAUAUCAAGUUCAUAAUAAAAGCAAUGCAACAAAUAAGCAGUGAAUAAUAAAUAUUUGACAAAAGGACAACUUGCACAUAUAGGAUGAGAAAUGCAACGUAUAUACAGACACACAUAUACUGAUGUGUUUCAUAUAAUACUUUAAACAUGCAAGUCAAAUCAUCAACAAAAAAAUAAUAUUAGGUCAAUGAUCCAAAUAAUUCAAGUAUGAAAGAAUUGGAAAAUGGAAACCUGGCCUCUUCUGCACAGAUGAUCUUCCAAAUUGAUAUGAUAAAUCAGUAAACUGGAAUGCGAAGAUGUAUCUGGAAAAAAGUACUUACACUGAUCAAUUCUUUUCGAGCAUCUUGCAGCUCAUCGUUACUCUUACGCUCCUUGAUGAUUAGUGUUUGGUUCAGUGCAUCUAAGUCUUGAAGUGACUGUUCCUUCUCCCUUAAACCCAUAUGCAAAUCAUCUACCUUCUUCAAAACUUCUACAUCUUCGUCAUCUUCUAUGUGCUUCAACACACUUAGUGAUCCUUUUAGUUGCUGAAUCUCCAGUUCCAGCUUUUGUUUCAUAUCCAGUUGUCUUUCAAGCUGAAUGAUUUUAGCAUGGAGCUGUUCUUUUUGUUUCUGUAUA
rnacentral:lncRNA from 1 species